ACCCAAACAUACACAUGAAUCCCCCUUCCCUCCUCUCCUCUCAUCUACCAAAAAUCAAACCCCCAAAAAAUAGAAUACAUCUCCGGCGGUACAAUUUAUAGAUGCUUCCUUUCCCCAAAUCCCCCAACCCUAAACCCAAAAAAAUACACACAAUAUAUCGAUGGGCGUCUCUCUCUGAUUCCUCAUCAUCACUAACAACCACAGUCGACGGAUUCUUCAUCACCACCAACACAGCCUUCUGGUAACCAUAUCGCCGUCGGUUCAUCAUCACCACCACCACAUAUGUCUUACACCAUAACAGAUACCACCGCAUCCAACAUCUCCCCGAUACAUACAUCGAGUUUCUAAAGAUGGUGUGAGGCAAUACGCAGUUAAGAACAGUUUGUGCUUUUCAAUGCAUUUUUUGGAUUUUUUGAUUUAUUACAUAAUUUGUUCUUACGCAAUACAUGUUUUUUUGUUUUGUUUCAGUCUCUAAUUUUUCCGAUUCCUACUUGAUAAAUCCCAAAAAAUCAAUUGAUCCCAUGAUAUUGUGUUUUGACCAUUUUUAUGGCUAUUAAAUGUCGUUUUUCAUAUUUUUAGUUAGAUAUAGCUACAAAAGACCUAUGUUGGUUUAGUUUUCAGAUAGUUUUUCGUUAGAUCUUUGUAAUAAAAGUCACUCUGCUCUGUAUUUCAUUCCAAUUUUGAUUAAUGAAAUUGAUUGUUUGUCAAACUGCCUAGCCGUUUCACGUAACGGAAUUUAUAUGUCCAAUGUUUCGUCUUUCAUUAGAAUAUUCACCAUAAUAACUUAUUAUUUGUCCCUCGCAGUAUUUUUGGCACCUGGCCAAUUAUUAUGCUUAUUACAGUCUACGUCCUUGAUUAGCUUAAUGUUUUUAUUUUAUAUAUUGAGGUGUAUGACGGGCACAAAUACAUUGACGUUUUUGAGCAAAUUUGCGAGGACGAUAUUUGGUACAACAUUUCAUCUGGCAGAGUCCACUACGUGUGUAUAACCUUGACGACACCGACUUCCGUACUUGCUAUUGUUUCUUAUUGAUAAAUAUGUAAGCUACUUUGUUGAGAGCUAAUCAUGUUGAUCUUGAUAGAUACGGGCCAUCCGCAUUCAUUUAAUCCACACUACAUGCUCUAUAUGGAGAAUGAUCAGAGCUCAACCUUGGCAGAGAAAGCCUGCAUGCAUACUGUAAGAAGUGGAGUUUGGCGAAAGCAGUUUCAGCAGAGAGUAUGUCAACUGAUGAAGCACAAUGCUGCAUCCAUCCAUCAAUGCCCUGCCAUAAAAACGAAACCCAUUGAUGUUGUGUGAUUUAGGUUUCAAGUAAUAUGGGUUUAUUCACCUCCUAUCAAUCGGUGGAAGCCAUCUUGAUGAACUCCUCGUGGCUCUGAUCAUGUAAUUCAUGUAACAGACACCUGCAGAGAACAAACAUUAAAGUUUUCAGCUCGGUAUAUAAUUUAAGUGUAUAAGUAUUAGUUAAACAUUUUUAUCAGGAAAAAGUAGAAUUAGAGGAGAAUAUGAUGUUUUUAUGAAACAAAAUGUGUAUGAAUUCAACCAUGAGUAGAAGUAUUUUUUAUACUGAUUAUUAGUGUCUCCACGUCAA